AAUAUGGAUGCCUGUAAUUAUCAAGACGGAAGAAAAAAGGAAGAGCAGCUUCCAUAUUCCUGUCCUUACUGAGAGGCUUUUCAGUAAUCUGGCCCUGAGGGUGUUGAGCACAAUGUGGAAAUCUGCAGAGGAUCAAUGCGGAGGAUUCUGGGUUUCCUCAGGUGUUCUAUAAAUCUCCUGUAUUGUCACAAUCCAGCUGACAUUGCUCUUUUAAAUGAGAGGUAUCUAACUAAUGAAGAGUAUAUUCAAGUUGUCACGGCACUGAUUGUGAAAUACCCUUUCCUGGGAUAUAAGGAAGGAUAAGAAUGCUAUCACACCUGGAACAUGUCCCUAAAGCAGCUGGAGUAAGUAUAGUGGAAAGAAAACCUGAAUGUUACAGGGAAAUUGUGAAAUUGAUGACAUCAAUUGCUGUCACUAAAAAAAAAAAAAUGGUAACACCUUACAAUAAGGUUACAUUGGGUAAUGUUAGUUUUAACUAACAUAAACAAACAAUAAACAAUACAUUACAGUAUUUAUUCAUCUUUGUUAAUGUUACUUGCAGUGCAAACAUUAUUAACAUCUUUAACAUGUAAAUUCUGGCAAAUGACCAUGGCAUAAGCGGGAUAAUCCACGGCUAGCUGUGCAUUAAACAAUUUAAAUGCGCUGCACAUCGGGUGGUUCUUUCUCCAUGUUGUGCAUGCAAAUCGUUUAAUACACAGCUAGCUGUGUGUAUAACAUACAGCCCUCAUACAGCUGUAUGUAUAACAUACAGCCCUCUGUAUGUAUUUGCUUUCAACAUUGCAUAUCCACCACACCUGAAAAACACACUGACUUUCCUUCAGAGGCGCAUUGUUGACAUCGUGAAAGAGGGAGACAAAUGGAUGGACUCUGGAUGAUUAACCUUUUAUAUUAGAUCCUCAUGCCUCAACUGUACCAUUGCCCAAAGUGCAAUUUUGAUUUUAUACAUGUAUAUAAGAAUUAUAUAUGAAAUUUGAUUUUAUAAAGAAUAUCCAGUAUAUUAGCUAAAAUG